rnacentral:lncRNA from 1 species
UCCUUCAGCAGCCAUGGUUCCACCUCUCACGUCCGCUUCCGUCACUUGAACUCUCUCUCCGACGCUUGCCUCUUCCUCAAGGUCUUCUUUUUUCUUUUUUGUAAUUUUGGGAUCGAUUUUAGAACCAAAAUUGUGGCCAUACGGCGAAAAUGAGGGGAAUUUAUGUAGUUUGUUGUCUAAUUCUUAAUAUUAUAACACUACCGGUCGGUGCUGCUUCAAUUUCAUCAGUAAACGAAGAAUCCUAGGUUUAGCAAUAUCUUCUCUGAGCACAGUCCCAUAAUUAUCUUCUACAAAUAAUAAUUAUUAUAAAUCUCCCCUUUUCAUGGUUUAACAAUCCCGCUAUUUCCAUCUAUUAGCAACUUUUCCUUCAAUUCCUCAGGUAUAUUUGUAUAUGUUUUUUUUUUCAUAUUGUUAGUUGUGUCAAAUUAAGAGUCUCUAGUUGAUAUUUGAUUGUGAUAAUAGUUUCAAUUUAUAUCUUAUCCAGUCUUAAACAUUUACCAAAUUACUUGAGCAAAAUCUUUUUUCUUGAUAGUAACCUUGAUGAAAUUGCUUCUUAGUGUCGAAGAUGCUGUUUUUUCCAUGUGAAACAUUGGCCUUAAUGAAACUUAUGUUCUUGUAGUUAGCUUUCUCUGCCACUUAAAGUUAUGUCUUCUUUUUUUGUAGUUUGGUUCAUGAACUCUUGCACUUGUUUAUUAUUCUUUUAAGUUAUUUGAAAUUUCAAGACGACUUAAGGAAGUUUUGGAGGCAAUUUGGGCUGCCAGGGAAUGCUUGAUUUAGAGAAAAUUAAGGCAAAUCUUCAAAAUGAGUUGUUGAGAAUUUCUGUGCUAGAAUGGGCUGAGAACAGGAGGAGGAUAUUAAGCUACAAAGGCUGCUAUGUAGAGAAAAUUUUAUUGUAUGUUAUUUUGUUUAGUUUUUAGGAAUGGUGGAUAAAAUAAAGUUUUCUCUUGUAGUGUAUGAUGUUUUGAGACAGAUUAAGAUGAGUGUAAUAGUUGGGAACUUGGGAUGAAUAUAAAUAGGAAAAUAAUUUAUGUAUCGGGUAGUUUUAUAUUGAACAUGGAUUGCGACUAACGUGGAAUUGUAAGUUAUAAGAGACUUGUAACAUGUGGGUCUGCCUUUUUUUUUAUACAUUUGUAUCCAAUGAAUUCAUAUAUGUCGAUUGUUCGUGUCGAUGUAAAUUUGUAGUUAUAUAUAUCAGCACUCAUAUAAAUAAUGAAUUUGAGGGGGCGUUUGUUACAGGUCAUUUAAAGUGGUGGUCAUCUUAGAUACUCGAUAAUGCGUGCCGGUCAUCUUUAGAGAUCAUGUAUGUUACAAAUCUAAUAUUCCCGAUAAUCAGAUACAAGGUAAAGUGUUAAAAUUUUUGGUAAUCACAUAACCAAAAAAUAUGUGGUAAACAGUUCAAUCUCAAAUGCUAAUUGCACAGGCAAUGAGCACUUUGUGUUGGUAAUCCCUAGCUCAAUUUCUCCUGAAAAAAAAUUGUGAGGAAACUUUUUCUGUCUGAAAAAAUUGAAAUCCCAUUUGAAGCUGAGAGGAGUAAGACCAUUAAAUUAGUUGGUUCGGUUAAUGGAUUGGUUUGUCUUACUGAUGAGAUGCGGUCUCAAUACGGCUGGGAUUUGUGUUUGUGGAAUCCUUCUGUUAGAAAGCACAAAACCCUGGUUUCGUCUUGCAUUGGGAAGGUGUGUGUUGACUGGACCAAUUAUCCCAUAAUAGGGUUCGGAUUUCACCAACCCACUAGCGAUUAUAGAAUUGUUUGGAUUGUUUACCAAGCUGAUUACUACUUCAACUACCUUGGUGCAAAGACUCCUCUUGAGGUUUUUAAUUUGAGAAUAAAUAUUUGGAAGAAUAUUAGAAGUGUUGUUGUUCCUCGAGUUGCUGAUCGUGAGGAUUGGGCAUUUGUUAAUGGUAGUAUUUACUGGUUGGAGGCAAAACGGCCUAAUGAAUAUCCUGAAUCCACGUGGAUCCCUAUCUUUUAAUCUCAAUGAUGAGGUGUUUGGUGAAGUGAAAUGUCCAGAUAAUUUUCUACGUUGGGUUGGCAGAGAACCAAAUGUUAGCCUAAUGGAGUAUAAGCGUUCAGUUUUUAUUUGUGUUUUUAGUCAAGCUGGUGGACUAGGUCAGCGGUUUUGCAUAUGGGUGAUGAGGCAUGAAGGUGGAACUGUAUCUUGGACUAAACAAUUUAAUUUUGAGCUGGAGGAUACACUCGGGUGGCCUUUGAAGCUUACAAGAAGUGGGAAGUUUAUAAUGAUGUCAGAAAACAAAGAUUAUGUUCUAAAGUCAUGUGAUCUCAAUAACCUAGAAAUUAAAGAUCUAGGAAAUGAUGGGCCUUCUACUGUAGACACUGCCUUCAUAGAGAGUCUGGUCUUGCUUAAGGAAGGGAAUGCCUUGUCGAGCCAUGGAAAGUCAGCUUAUCAUGGAUUCUUUUGAGUCUUGCUGGUAACUGGUAAGUAGCCAAUCUAUGCCUGGUGAUUAUUACUUAGUUGAUGCAUAUAGAUCAUUUCUCAUGUUUCUGCAUAUAUGAACUUGAUAAUAGAUGUUUAUAUUUGAACGGUGAGGGACUCGAGAUUGUUAAUGGUAUAAUCUGUCUUUUAUUAAAAGGUCUUUGGUAUGUAACAGUAUAACAUUUCUUUGACUUAUAAAGAAAAGGUAAAACAUUUUUUUUAUCUUUCUGGUUAUUGUCGAUCUAUCUCAACAUGACACUUGACAAUAAAAUUUCUUAUUAAUAUAUUCAGUUCUCUCUCUCUCUCUCUCUCUCACACACACACACACACACACUCUCGCGCACACUUUUUCCUUCUAACUUGUGUAUUUAUCUUUGAAAUUUUAUCAUUUAUACGGAAUUUUAGUUAUUAAGUAGUUUGCCAAAAAUGUUAAGGAUAUAGCUCGUAAUAUGUUUGACUGAUCAUGUUUUGGAAAACUCUGCUUUUACUUGCUUACUCGUCCUCAACUAAAAAUCAAAGAAGCUUUUUUGGUUCUUUGUUGUGUGUACACACUUGUUAUGGGAUUUGGAUACCCAGGCUUACUAAUUAUUAGAAGGUUGGAAGAGCUCCUUAAUUCUGAAGAUACCUUUUGAAUUUAAGGAUUAAAUUUGAAAAGAAUAAAUUAAAAGUUAAGAAAUGGACCUAGAGGAGCAUGUGGUUUUCACGUUGUAGAGUAGUGGCCGUUAUUUUUGGACUUACGGUUUGGCAACGUUUGAUUAAAUAAUACAUUGGGAGUCCUCUAAAAGUAUUGGCAUCAUAAACUUUAUGCUUGUAUAUUCUGUUGAUUGAGUGCUUUUUUCUCCAUUUGGAAAAGGAUAAAUUUAUUUAUGAGGGAGAGGAACAGGAUUUUUCUGGGGUUCGGUCAGUAGAAGGGACUACUUUGUCUCCCCGGAAGAAGAAUAUCCCUGCUCUCUAGCCGACUGAUCCCGAAAUUGUUUUAACAAAAUCAGAGAAUAGUAAGAAGAGACGAGAUGGAAAAUCUAAUUCUGCAUUGGUUCAUGCAAAGCUCAUACUAACUAUUUUGCUCUUUAUUCCUUCCUCGUUUUUGAGUCGGAAUGUAAAUUUGCUAUUUGGCACUGGUCAUUUGGUGGUAGCAUUUUACUUUGUCCCAACCUGUUUUUUAUCCACAAGAAUCAGUUAUUGCAUUCUUUUAUGUACCAUAUUGAAUCACGUACCGUAUUGAAUAUUGAAUCAGUUAUUCAAUAUUCACGUACCGUAUUGAAUAUUGAAUCAGUUAUUGAAGAAGCAAUCAUUUAUUCAUAGGCUAUAUGGGAUUGUAGCUAAAAUAAUCCUAGGGUAAGCCUCAAUUGUAUGGUCAUCUGUUAAGAAGAGAAUGUGGCAUUACCAAUGCCAUAGCAUUUAGAAUUGGUCCCCUUUAUCGUUUUUAUGGAUACUGUUUCUAGUUAACUAGUCUUUGUGUUUCUUUAUGGAAUAUGAUGAUUUUGAAUUACUAUAGUCUUGGUAUUGUUUUAUUUCUUCUUUCAGUUGGUGUUUGGCUUGUUUGAAGUACUCUUUCUUUUACCUUUCCCUUUUUUGUGCUUUUUGAGGGAAGAAAGAGGGGGCCUGGGGGACACUGUUUGAUCCUCUGCUACGUGAUGUUGAUGCCUUCUUCUAAUUUUUUGAGUAUAUCACAUUUUUAUUUACAGUCUGUUUCCAUUAUUGACUUGCAUAUGUACGUAGGGUACUUGGUUAAACUUAACAUCUACUCAAUUCAUGUUUCAUCCCUUAUAUUUUCAUGCCUACUUUUUAGUUUUCCGAGUACUAUUUGUAGUUAAUCUAUGUAUAUAAUUCACUGUGCUUAAUGACAAAGCCUGGAUCCUUCUAAAGGAGGGAAAUAAAUAUUCACUGUGCUUAAUGCCUACUUUUUUGUGUCGUUUGUGCGUUUAUAAAGUGUAAGAAAAGAAAACUUAAGUUUCAAAGUUAGAUUAACACUGGUAUCCGAUCCUUUUAUUUAAUGUCGUCGUUUGUAGAUAAGGUUAAUAUAGGGGCUGUAAAGAAUUAGUCUUUGUUAUUUUGUUUUUCAUCCAAAUCUGUCCAUUUUUGUGCAGAAAACUUUGGCCAGAAAAGUGACCAAAUUCCUUUUCUUUUUCGUCCUUCAAGGGGAAUUGGUAAGUUUUCCGUCUUCUUUUAUCUUCCGUCCAUUCUUUUAAAGUUCACAAACGCAGUGCAAGGGGGAAUAGAGGCCUAUCCUUUCCUAGAAAUUUGUAGAAGUUACAUGUUUAUGUUUACUAGAAAUUUAUUUUCCUUCAUGUUGAAGGUAGUCUAGUCUCCCCAUGCAUGAUUCCAUUCUUUGUAAAUGAUCAUUCAAUUUCUAUUGCAUUGUGGUAUGUUCAAACCAACCCUCAGUGGGUAUGUGAAUGUGUGUGGAUAUAUCAAGGAUUUUUUGGCUCAGCUUAACAUGGCCUGCCUGCGCAGGCAGGGGUGCAUGCGGCGGCAUGCCUGCUGUUCACUUGUUGCUUACAUUUUUAUCUCCCCUUUUGCAGGUAAUCUUGAAAUGCUACUAUAUUAUUAUUAUGCUUUAGAAGUAUGGAAUAUGGAUGGCUCUCUAUUGUCAUGUAAAGCUGCCUGUAGUAGGAAUGAUGCUGCCUGCUAGAUAUUGCCGAGUAAUCUUCAACUUCAACUGGUGUUGCUUGAUUUUAACCCUCUUUGUUUUUUUACUCUGAUUGUUCAUCUGUUAUUUACUCGGUCAUUUUAUUGUUUAAUUUCCUUCUGCCUUCUGGUUUCCAGUAAAUAAAACAAGUUGGUACAAGUUCAUUUAUUCAUUUGUUAUGGAAUGAAUAAUAUAAAGAGUAAAAUACAUUGACACCCCCUGUAGAUAAGGGUGUAAACGAAUCGAGUCGAUCCGAGUAUUGAGUUAUUCAGAUUUGAUUCACAAAAUUUAUCGAGUAUAAAAUAAGGUUUGAUUGAGGCUCAUUUAGCUAUCGAGUUGAGCAUGAUUCCGAAUCGAGCCCGAGCAGUUUGGACUUUUCUAACGAAUAUGAUCCGAGUAUCAAUAGAAAAUUAUAAUUUAAAGAGGUUCGAGUAAUUUAUCGAACUUUAAAAUGUGUUCAUAUUUGACUCAUUUAUAUUUC